CCCUUAGAUGUUCUGGGCGGCCCGCGCACUACACUGGCACUCUCAAUCAGAGCCUGGAUCUAACACUUUGGGGUAUUCUAUGAAGUGGUGUCGUGACUGGGAUUAACCCUUGCAAUUAUUGGUUACGAGCGAGGAAUUCCUUGUAAUCGCGGUUUAUCAGCCCGCGUUGAAUGCGUCCCUGCCCUUUGUACACACCGCCCGUCGCUCCUACCGAUGGAUCGUCCGGUGAAGCUCAUGGAGGGGCGGUUGUCUCAGCUGCCGUCGAAGUGAAAUGGACCUCACGAUCUAGAGGAAGGAGAAGUCGUAACA
rnacentral:rRNA from 1 species